ACAUAGGAGGGACCAGAGUAGUGUUGUGAAUUCUUCAGGUCAAAGCAGAAAUGGAUCUCCCAAGAGUUUUGAAGGGUGAAGGGCCAGUGACCUUACAGAUGGAUCAAAGGAGGCCAUGGAUAAGACAAUGAGGGGAGGCAAACAAAUGGAUUCUGGGUCCUCAGUCUCCGGACAGACUGGUUGAGAUGAUGUAAAAAUAAACUAGGAUAUACGUGCCAUCAGGACCGUACUUAGGAAAAGUCCUUUCAUCAAGGAGCAACCUUGAGCUGCUCAAGAGAGAAGAGAAGCCACAUAAAGGACUCCAGAAAUGAGACUCAUAGCUUUAUGGCUCCCAGCAUAUGGCAUCUGAUAACCUCACCUUCCCACUCUUCUGGAUUCCAGGCAACUCACACACUUUGAAAAACCUGAGGCAGCAAGCAAGCACGAGCAAUACCCCAAAUAUAGUUUUGAUUUUUUUAGAGUUACUUUUCGCUGUAGGGAAGAGAAAAAAAAAAAAAGGUUUGUUUUGUGACUUUUUUUUUCCUAAGUUUUCAUCCUGAUUUGGGAAGGAAACUAUCUCAAGGUCAAAAUGUUUGUGUGUGACUAAAGCCAAAAAUAAAAAGUAAUUUUCU
rnacentral:lncRNA from 7 species